UACGUAGGGUGCAAGCGUUAAUCGGAAUUACUGGGCGUAAAGCGUGCGCAGGCGGUUGUGUAAGUCAGAUGUGAAAUCCCCGGGCUCAACCUGGGAAUUGCAUUUGUGACUGUAGAGCUGGAGUACGGUAGAGGGGGAUGGAAUUCCGCGUGUAGCAGUGAAAUGCGUAGAUAUGCGGAGGAACACCGGUGGCGAAGGCGGCGAUCUGGGUAGAUACUGACGCUGAGGUGCGAAAGCGUGGGGAGCAAACAGG
rnacentral:rRNA from 1 species